ensembl:rRNA 5S_rRNA 5S ribosomal RNA
AUCUGUGGCCAUACCACCCUGAAUAUGCCUGAUCUGAUCUGAUCUCAAAAGCUAAGCAGGGGGGCUGGGGAAUUAGCUCAGCGGCAAAAGCGCCUGCCUUGCAAGCAGGCAGUCGUGAGUU